GGAGAGAGAGGGCGGUAUAUAAAUAAAGGUUUACUUACUACUACUUACUACUGGAAGGAUGUGUCGUGUUUUUUUUUUCUUUCUAGCAGCCUGCAUUCAGCUUCCUGUGUCUGAACUUUCCUCAUUGCCUUUUUUUUCAGCUGGUAAAUUUCCACUUCAAGAUUCCCUCUUGUCUUUCUCUCUUCAGACCCCCCCUCCCCCCCCCCCCAUCCUGGCUGAUUUUUUUAUUUCUGCCUUAUCCCUAGUUUCGUUUGGUCUCACCUGGUUGUUUUUUGACUCAUAGAGUCAUAGAAUCAUGGAGUUGGAAGUGACCUCAUAGGCCAUCCAGUCAGACGCCCCUGCCGAGACGCAGGAAAAUCGCCUCGUCUGUACUGCAAGGGAAGGGAGAUACACCUGCGCCUCAACAGCUGGGCCUAAAUUGCAAAGCGCGCCGAUUGCUGUCAGCAGUGGGCGCGACCAAUCAGUGCGCGGAAGCGGCCGGUGCGUACCUGCAGAAAGGGAAAAACUAAACUAAGGGAGAAACAACUUUGCAAGAGGAGAAGCUAUGGAAGUGGCGUCCCGGUACUUGAUGCUAGCGCUCGUUGCGCUCUGUAUUUCUUCCUCUGGCCAGGUCCAAGCUCUCACAUCCUGUCCAAAUUGUGAUGACUUCUCUGUGCCUGAAGGUUCAUCCAAGGUGAUCGCUGCAAAUGUAUCAGCCUAUCCCAAAAUGCUUGUUCUGCAUAAAAACAAUUCUCCUAUUAGUUUGGAAAAAAUUCUGUUCAUAAACAAAGGUCAGAUACAAUUUGUGGAGACUGCAUGGACAGACUAUUUCUAUAUGUCUGGAAAUGAUCUUGCUAUCAAGAAUGCAAACGAAGUGCUCACUGGAUGCUACCAGCUUGCCUAUCAACUUAACGAACUUAGUGUGAAGCAAUUUUGCCUUGCAAUUCUAGGUCCAUGGAAUUGUUCUUCUGAUAGCUUCUCCUUAGCAGAAGGUUCCUCUGAAAAGAUCAUUGCUAACAAAUCCACCAACUCCUUUGAUCUUGCUUUAUAUAAGAAAGUUAAUGUUAGCUCUGACUGGGAACACAUUCUAAACAUAACUGAUGGACACCUGAGCUACAUUAGAGAGGAAUAUAAAAACAAUUUCUUGCUAUCGGAGGACGGCCUUACUCUGAAGAAUGCAACCAAAGGGCUCACUGGAGAGUAUCAGCUUGUUGGGGAAGGUAAUAAGACCUGUGUGCAGCAAUUCUUCCUUAAUGUCACAGGUUCAGGAGCCACCCGUGAUUCUACCAGUUCAGCAAUACCUAUUGGUAUUUUUAUUCUAGUAGUAAUUCUGGCACUAUGUGUGGGAUCCUUUAUAUAUCGCAAAAAGAAAAGAAGAGAAGAAAACAGAAAUGAAUUUGCUCAUCACUCUACAAAAGUGCAGGAUUCUGAAAAUGGAUUUCUGCAGCAUGGAACUGAAGCAACUGAAAUGCAAGGAACUGAAAUGGACAAACAUAGAAGAUACAACAGGGAUCUUUCUCCUAAAAAUGAAGAAGUGCCACAUUCUCACUGUGCGGAGUAA
rnacentral:lncRNA from 1 species